CGCGUAGGCGGCUCGGCAAGUUGGAUGUGAAAGCCCUGGGCUCAACCCAGGAUGUGCAUUCAAAACUGCCGAGCUUGAAUCUCGGAGGGGGUCAGGGAAUUCCCGGUGUAGAGGUGAAAUUCGUAGAUAUCGGGGAGGAACACCAGUGGCGAAGGCGCUGACCUGGACGAUGAUUGACGCUGAGGCGCGAAAGCGUGGGGAGCAAACA
rnacentral:rRNA from 1 species